UUUAACACAAGGAUAUACAGGUAAAAGUCUCCCCUCCCGAAACCCUCUGCACGCCGCCGCCGACCCUCUUCCCGUCGCUCCGCACGCGGCCAGCACGGCAGCGGGCGACACGCAGCCAGUACAUCUCUCUCCCUCCCGUAGGAUCCCCUCCAGGCCACAUCCACUCGGGCCAGCACGGCGGCCGCCGCCAUGGGUGCGCCCUGAACGCCUGCUCCUUGCCGCCGGCAUGGGUGCGCCCUCGCCGGAACGCGACGCCGGAAGUUAAGGAGAUAGAUCGAGAAUCCUUCAAGACGAUCCAAUCGGUAGUUCAUCGGCGACACCCUUCUCUUCUCUUCUCGCACAGGUUGGAGGUGGUCUGCCGGCCAGAGCUUCUUGGCCCCGCGUGCCCCCCUCCCAUCGGCGUAUCCUGGGCCGGCGGGGGUCAUGGCGCCCUCCCGUCUGCAGUAUGUACCUAUCUAUUCGGCGAUGGUCUCUUGAUAUUUUAUUUCACUUCAUUAUUAUACUAAAAUUAAUUAUUAUUAAGUUUCAGUCGGCCUUGUUUAGAUGCAAGGUGUAAAUUUUUUAAAAUGGAAUCUUUUCACAUUUAAAGUAUUAAAUAUAGACUUAUCACAAAACUAAUUGCAGAUUUCGUCCCUAAAUCGCGAGACGAAUCUAAUGAGCCUAAUUAAACCGUCAUUAGCAUAUAGUACUGUAGCAAUUAAUGUAGUAAUUUGGUGUCUAAUCAUGGCCUAAUUAUGUUCAUUAGAUUCGGCUCGCAAUUUACAAGCAAACUGUGCAAUUAAUUUUUUAUUUCGUCUAGAUUUAAUACUCCAUGCAUGUAAGAUUCCCAUUUUUUAGAAUUUUGAAUUUUGGGACUAAACAAGGGCUUAGAUCAAUAUGCAUGUAGACGUAGCACACAAUUUUAUCAUUCAGUUUCAGGAAUGGCAAUGGCUCUCGUUGGGGCUAGCUGCUAGCUAGCUAGCUAGGAGCAGAGUACUGGCCGAGAUCUGACGGGCCAAGUUGCAAGCACAAGUAUUCAGUUGGACUGCAGGCCUGCAUUGAGGCUGAGCUUGUUGCUUGUCAUUGCUGAGGCAUAUUUUAAUGAUGGGGUGCUACAAUUAGCAGUUAAUCAGUCUGAUACAGCUCGUUGUUUCAGUCCGAUUUGGUAUGAACUAGAGUGUCUGACUAAUGUUCAGCCUUACAGUCCAAAAAUCUCCUUAGAUUUCUGUAUUAGAUAAAUAUGCAUGUAGAUGUAGCACACAGUUUUGUCUUAGUUCAGCUGUUUUGGACUGAUGAAAGUUGUAAACUGCAUUGUUCUCUGAUCCAGCUGUUAUAAACUGUAGGCCAAGGUGCAGUUUAUUUUCAUAUGUGUACUUGAUCCAUCUGCAUUGUUCUCUGAUGAAAGCUGAUGAGCUCACCUGAAGAUUCUGAAUGUGGCGUUCUGGUGAAAGCUGAGCUCAGUUUAUUUUGAUUAGUUCGAUGAACACACUAUCACUUUUUGAGGAAGAUACCAAGAACUAUAGUUCCAGUUUGUGCAUCCUGAAACCAGCCAUGUCCAAUGUCAAACACUGAUGCGUGCCCUUUGGUUUUUUUUAGGUCCCUUUUGAACGCUGAAAAAGUCCCUGUUUUAUGUGUUUUUCAAUUCCUGCAUUCCAAAUGCUCUGGUCUGUAACGUGAGCAUGUGUGCAUCUCUGUUCGAUCGUGGUCUGUACAGCAUCUGUGCUAUCUCAAAGACAGGGGCAUAUUAGAUAAUUAUUCUUUCUCAUCCAUUCAAGAGUUGUUGUUGAA